rnacentral:rRNA from 1 species
UACGUAGGGUCCGAGCGUUGUCCGGAAUUAUUGGGCGUAAAGGGCUCGUAGGCGGUUCGUCACGUCGGGAGUGAAAACUCGGGGCUUAACCCCGAGCCUGCUUCCGAUACGGGCAGACUAGAGGUAGGCAGGGGAGAGCGGAACUCCUGGUGUAGCGGUGGAAUGCGCAGAUAUCAGGAGGAACACCGGUGGCGAAGGCGGUUCUCUGGGCAUUACCUGACGCUGAGGAGCGAAAGCCAGGGGAGCAAACGGG